CAGGAUGUGGGGAAGUUGGUGUCCCGCGGGCUUUGGAAGCUCGAGAUCGCAGGUUCGAGUCCUGCUAUCCUGA
rnacentral:tRNA from 1 species